rnacentral:rRNA from 1 species
CCUACGGUUGGCAGCAGUGGGGAAUAUUGGGCAAUGGGCGCAAGCCUGACCCAGCAACGCCGCGUGAAGGAAGAAGGCUUUCGGGUUGUAAACUUCUUUUGUCAGGGACGAAGCAAGUGACGGUACCUGACGAAUAAGCCACGGCUAACUACGUGCCAGCAGCCGCGGUAAUACGUAGGUGGCAAGCGUUAUCCGGAUUGAUUGGGUGUAAAGGGUGUGUAGGCGGGAAUACAAGUCAGAUGUGAAAACUCUGGGCUCAACCCAUAGCCUGCAUUUGAAACUGUAGUUCUUGAGUGCUGGAGAGGCAAUCGGAAUUCCGGGUGUAGCGGUGAAAUGCGUAGAUAUACGGAGGAACACCAGUGACGAAGGCGGAUUGCUGGACAGUAACUGACGCUGAGGCGCGAAAGCGUGGGGAGCAAACAGGAUUAGAUACCCGUGUAGUC